CUACGGGGGGCUGCAGUGAGGAAUAUUGCACAAUGGGGGGAACCCCGAUGCAGCAACGCCGCGUGGAGGAUGACGCAUUUCGGUGUGUAAACUCCUUUUAUAUGUCAAGAAAAUGACGGUAGCAUAUGAAUAAGCACCGGCUAACUCCGUGCCAGCAGCCGCGGUAAUACGGAGGGUGCAAGCGUUACUCGGAAUCACUGGGCGUAAAGGACGCGUAGGCGGGUUGGAAAGUCAGGUGUGAAAUCCUACAGCUUAACUGUAGGACUGCACUUGAAACUUCUAAUCUAGAGUAUGGGAGGGGGAGAUGGAAUUAGUGGUGUAGGGGUAAAAUCCGUAGAUAUCACUAGGAAUACCUAAAGCGAAGGCGAUCUCCUGGAACAUUACUGACGCUAAGGCGUGAAAGCGUGGGGAGCAAACAGGAUUAGAUACCCCCGUAGUC
rnacentral:rRNA from 1 species